rnacentral:misc_RNA from 1 species
GAUGAAGAACGUAGCGAAAUGCGAUAAGUAGUGUGAAUUGCAGAAUUCAGUGAAUCAUCGAAUCUUUGAACGCACAUUGCGCCCCUUGGUAUUCCAUGGGGCAUGCCUGUUCGAGCGUCAUUUGUACCUUCAAGCUUUGCUUGGUGUUGGGUGUUUGUCUCGCCUUUGCGUGUAGACUCGCCUUAAAAUAAUUGGCAGCCGGCGUAUUGAUUUCGGAGCGCAGUACAUCUCGCGCUUUGCACUCAUAACGACAGCGUCCAAAAGUACAUUUUACACUCUUGACCUCGGAGCAGGUAGGGAUACCCGCUGAACUUAAGCAUAUCAAUAAGCGGAGGA